UUCUUCAAUACACGGUGGUGGAAGUACACGGAGUGUCUGAUAGACACGUGGUAUAAUCUGAGACGUCCAAUGUGUGGGGUCAGCAGUCAAGUCAUCUGGACCAUCGAUUGAAACUAACUCUUAGUCUGACAGUCAACGUUUGUGUUCUCUAUAUGUAAAAAAAUUUGGAUGGUAAAAAAGCUAUAAACCGUUGCGUGGGUUGCUAUCCAGUGUGGGAAAACGAAGAUCGGAGAGGAAGAAGAAGAUGGAGAUAGAGAGAGAGAUAUGCACCAGACCCGAGUUCGUCCAGAUCAAUCGCCCUUUUUCUAAUCGAGUGAGAGGAUCGGUUGCGUACAAAUUUCAAACCAGUUUCAGUAGGAGUCAUCAUGAAGAGGCUUAGCAGCUCAGAUUCUUUGGGUGCCUUGAUGUCCAUCUGCCCAACCAAAAACAGGUGAACAGAGUCCAAGAAACAACCAUGUUUGCAGCAGAGACUUCCAGUCCAUGCUGGACGGCUGAGACGAAGAAGGAUGCGUGGAAAAGUCAAGUCUGUUGCUGAGAAGAAGCGCCGGCUGGCGUGCGGCCGGAAGGGAAGGCACAGAGGUCCGGGUUUGGUCUCGGGAGUGAUUGGAUUCAGAUUUUGGUUGGAACGGGUUUGGGCCUCUAUUUGGGCCGGGUGUAGAGCUGAUCACUGCUCUAGCCCAACUUAGGUGUAUAAAGCUCUUUUAAGAAAAUAUUUUUAAGUUGAUAGAUUGAAUAUCAGAUUUAAUUAAGUAAAUAACAACUAAAGUUAAAUUUUAUUAA